ACGGCUUGCUAGUGGCUCAUGGGUGGAAAAAGGAACGAUCAAGGAUGACUGAGCGUUCUGGCCUGACUGGCUAAGUGCAUGUGUCACCGCCGAUUGAGUUUGGGAAGAAAAGAGCAAAGAGUUUAGAGGAAAAGCCAAUUCGGUUUGGGACACACGAAGCUUCAAGUGCCUAUGAGUCAUCCGAGAGGAAAUAUCAAGAGCUCUGAUUGUUAUCUGUGUCCGGAACUAAGAGGAAAGGCCGGGGCUGGAGACAGGAAGUUGAGGGACAGAAGCAUAUAGACAGCACAUGAAGUCGGAGACUGGCACAAUCACGCAGUGUAUUUGAGUAAUGGAGACGAGAAAGGGGCCAGAACCCCGAGUGAGGUUCUUUCUACUCUACCACAUUGCGUCUUUUUGCCUAGAUUUAUCAAUGGGGGCAAGUAGCUACAGAAUGCGUAAGCUGCAGAGAGGAGAGGUGUAGCACCGGGACCACAAGGGCCCUGCCAUAGCGCUGCAUGGUGACAGCAGGCGGCCGCACUCGCGGUGGGCACGGCCGAGCGUGUAGAGGUCUCCAAUCACUGUGCUGUGCACCAGAACCUGAUGGAAUGUUGUGUGCCGACUACUCUUCAAUGAAAGCCACAAAUAAAGACGUGAUCGUUACUA